AGUGAACGCUGGCGGUAGGCCUAACACAUGCAAGUCGAACGGCAGCACAGUAAGAGCUUGCUCUUACGGGUGGCGAGUGGCGGACGGGUGAGGAAUACAUCGGAAUCUACUUUUUCGUGGGGGAUAACGUAGGGAAACUUACGCUAAUACCGCAUACGACCUACGGGUGAAAGCAGGGGAUCUUCGGACCUUGCCCGAUUGAAUGAGCCGAUGUCGGAUUAGCGAGUUGGCGGGGUAAAGGCCCACCAAGGCGACGAUCCGUAGCUGGUCUGAGAGGAUGAUCAGCCACACUGGAACUGAGACACGGUCCAGACUCCUACGGGAGGCAGCAGUGGGGAAUAUUGGACAAUGGGCGCAAGCCUGAUCCAGCCAUACCGCGUGGGUGAAGAAGGCCUUCGGGUUGUAAAGCCCUUUUGUUGGGAAAGAAAAGCAGCAGGUUAAUACCCCGCUGUUCUGACGGUACCCAAAGAAUAAGCACCGGCUAACUUCGUG
rnacentral:rRNA from 1 species